UUCCGGCUGCCGGGUUGACAUGAAGAAGCAGCGGCGACCAGGACGGCAGUAGCGGCGGGAGUCGAGGCUUGCCGCGGGGCUCGGAGCUGAGAGCGCGGCGCGGCCUAGAGCGGCAGACCGUGCAGUGGGCCCAAGAGGAGGCGCAGCAGCCGCCCUGGCCCGUCAUGGAGAUGGAAAAGGAGUUCGAACAGAUCGACAAGGCCGGGAGCUGGGCGGCCAUUUACCAGGAUAUCCGACACGAAGCCAGUGAUUUCCCAUGUAGAGUGGCCAAGCUUCCUAAGAACAAAAACCGAAACAGGUACAGAGAUGUCAGUCCCUUUGACCACAGUCGGAUUAAACUACAUCAAGAAGAUAAUGACUACAUCAAUGCCAGUUUGAUAAAGAUGGACGAAGCCCAAAGGAGUUACAUUCUUACGCAGGGCCCUUUGCCUAACACGUGUGGUCACUUUUGGGAGAUGGUGUGGGAGCAGAAAAGCAGGGGCGUGGUCAUGCUCAACAGAGUGAUGGAGAAAGGCUCGUUAAAAUGUGCGCAGUACUGGCCUCAGAAAGAAGAAAAAGAAAUGAUCUUUGAAGACACAAAUUUGAAACUAACCUUGAUCUCUGAAGAUAUUAAGUCGUAUUACACGGUGCGGCAGCUAGAAUUGGAAGACCUUACAUCUCAAGAAACUCGAGAGAUCCUACAUUUCCACUAUACCACGUGGCCUGACUUUGGCGUCCCAGAAUCGCCAGCUUCGUUCCUGAACUUCCUUUUUAAAGUCCGCGAGUCAGGGUCACUCAGCACGGAGCAUGGCCCUAUCGUGGUGCACUGUAGUGCAGGCAUCGGCAGGUCGGGGACCUUCUGUCUGGCUGACACCUGCCUCCUGCUGAUGGACAAGAGGAAAGAUCCUUCUUCUGUUGAUAUCAAGAAAGUUCUGUUAGAAAUGAGGAAAUUUCGGAUGGGACUGAUCCAGACAGCAGACCAGCUCCGUUUCUCCUACCUAGCUGUGAUCGAAGGUGCCAAAUUCAUCAUGGGAGACUCUUCAGUACAGGAGCAAUGGAAGGAGCUCUCCCACGAGGACCUGGAGCCCCCACCCGAACACGUCCCCCCUCCUCCCCGGCCGCCCAAACGAAUCCUGGAGCCACACAAUGGGAAGUGCAAGGAAUUCUUCCCAAACCACCAGUGGGUAAAGGACGAAACCGGGGAGGAUAAAGAAGACUGCCCCGUCAAGGAAGAAACCAGAACCCCCUUAAACGUCCCUUGCAGCGUGGAAAGCACGAGUCCAGACACUGAAGUCAGAAGGCGGGUCAUGGGGGCAGGUCCUGCCCAGGGGGAGCCAUCACCGCCCAAGGAGGAGCAGGACCAGGCGCUGACUCCCUGGAAGCCCUUCCUGGUCAACAUGUGCAUGGCCACGGUCCUCACGGCCGGCGCGUACCUCUGCUACAGGGUAUGUUUUCACUGAUGGACGUGCUGGCAAGACCUCGUGUACAGAAAGCACUGGCCGACAGCCCGGCGUUAGCAUUCAGUGCUGUGGAAGGAUCUGAGCCAGUCUCAGAAGAAACAGAGCAGAGGUUUUUAAAGUCUGGAACUGUGAAGGGCUAACGAGAGAAUUGAGGAUUGAUGCACCGGGGUUUUAAGGAGCCCUGUGGUCCCAAGAAUAUACGAGUCUAAUCUCAGGGCCUUAACCUAUUCAGGAUUCCUGUUCAGCAGCAGCACAUAAUCUCCUCCACUCCACCUCCACCCCACUGUCCGCCUCCGUGCGUAGAGCCCGCGCCCGCCUAGCAGGCACGCCGUGGUAGGUAAGGGCCGAGGACAGCGUAGCCGGCCGUGACCUGGACGGACGUUUGUUCUGCACUAAAACCACCCUCCCCGGGCUGUUGGUCUUACCCCUUUUGACGGUGUCCCCCCUCCCUUUCCUUUGAGCACCAAAUCCGCAACCCGUUUUUUGAGGAGAAAGAAGGAGAGUACGGGGCUGGUGGCCUGUGCGGGUCGCGAGGCUCGCCCUGCCCGGAGCGUGCUCUCGGCGUGGCCGGCGCGUCCGGGUGGGCGGGCAUAUACGCUGUCCUCCCGCGGACCUCUGCGGAGACUCCACUCCAUAUUUAUUGUUUGGUUUUUCCCCAAAGGCGUCCGUAGUGCACUAGCGUUUUCUUAAACCAAUAAUGUAUUAAGAACUUUUGAUGUCAGCCUUGCAUCAAGGGCUUUAUCAAAAAGUACAAUAAUGAAUCCUCAGGUAGUGCUGGGAACGUUAGAUUUUGCCAUGAGCCUGCUGCGUCAGACCAGUACUAGGAAGCAGGACGGUUGUAAGCAGUCGUAUUUCGUGGCAUUGUGGGUAACGUGAGAAGAGGUUUGGCAUAUGUUUAUAGGACAUGGGAUAAUACAUAACGAACACUUGGAUAUUUAAGAUACGUGGUGUGAGAUUACUUUGUUCCAGUUACCCCCUCCCAGUUAUCUGCUAGAACCUUGUUCUCAAUCACUGCUUUCCCUGUGUGUAUUAGAAUAUGCAUGUAUGGUCGUCUUGUGUCCUGAUCCAGUACCACGUGCUUGAAAUACUUAGCUCUCUGCUUAUUAAUGUGCCCCAUGUACAAGUCCAGUCUACCUUUGCAUGACCUGAUCGUUACGUGGCUGUGGUUCCUAAGGCUGUUGCUGAAAUAAUCACCAUUCUGCAAUGGGGUGAUGUUUUUCAGUAACAGAUAUUUGCCUAAUACCUGGCAUGGCACUCUGGUGACUUCCUGGUGAGGCCCCGGCCUGUCCUUGUCCAGCUGGGUCCCACUGUAACUCAGACAUUCCAAGGAUAUGGGAAGCCAUAGUCCCACCUCACGCUCUGGACGUUUAGGCAAGCACGGUCCCGUUACCCCCCCCCCCCCCCCCCGCUCCCCCUCCCCGACACCUUGGGGAUCAGCCUCCACUGUCAGAAGUUGACGCUCUUCUCGAGCAGACCAUGAUUCGGAACCAAGGCAACUGCUGGAAACCGCACUUCCUGAAGCAACCCGGGUGUCGGGCCCUCGGAGUCCGCCUGCCGCCAUCCUGGUCCAGGGGCCUUGCUGAGAGCCACGUCUGCCCCCGCCCUUGAACCCUGGGGACUGAUGGUGCUCACGACUCUUCCUGCAAGGGAACUUAAGACCUCCACAUUAAGUGGCUUUUUUAAACAAGAAGAAGAAGAAAAACAAAACAAAAAAACAAAAAACAAGGCAGCUGUAGCUCACAAGCUGCUCAUUCGCCAGCAUUUUCACGUGUUGCCUUUCACGUGUUAGAAGCCCGUGCAGAGAAAUUCUGUGGUGGGAACGUUUGCGGCAUCACUGUGCAGAGCCUUGGAGAGGUGCGGGUGAGGCUGAGAUGCCAGGCUGUCAGCAUUUUUGAGUUGGGCUUGUGUGUUUGUUUUUAAAGUCCUGUAUAUGUAUGUAGUAGUUUGGGUGUGUGUAUAUAGUAGCAUUUCAAAGUGGAUGAACUGGUUUAAGCUCCUGUCCUUGGAAAACAGAUGGCUCUCCAUCUUGUUACACGUAUGUUAGAGAAGUAGCGAGCUGCUCUGCUAUAUGCCUUAAGUCAAUAUUUACUCAUCAGGUCAUUAUUUUUUACAAUGGCCGUGGAAUAAACCAUUUGUACGAAAAUAAAAACAAACGAAAACAGCGAGGCGUUCUGGUAUAAUACCUUUUCAGGUGUAUGUAUACAUGGCUGCAUGAUGGGGGGAGGGAGGGGGCGCGUCUCAGGGUCCUGUGACCUCACAGAACUAUCAGACUGUACAGUUUUCCAACUUGCCAUAUAAAUGAUGGGUUUGCGUUUUAGUUGCAACAAUAAAUUUUUUUUUCUAAAGAACACGGA